rnacentral:lncRNA from 1 species
AGGCAUACGUUCUUCUGUAAUGUGAACUGGGAUCAUUUGUUGGCCAGAAAGACAGAGCCACCAUACAAACCCUCCACGAGCGGCAAAGAUGAUGUGAGUCAGUUUGAUACAAUAUUCACUGAACAAACACCGGUCGAUUCUUCUGACGACUCCUGCUUGAGUGAAGAUGGUUAUCAGAUAUUCUCCAGGUUCAGCUACGUUGCACCGUCCGUAUUUGAAGCAGUGGAUAAAGAUAUUUUGAAUUUACGACCUGUCAGAAACUCCCACGUAGCAGCAACCAGUCAGUUACAAGUCAAUAGUGAUACUGAAGCUAAAUUUGGGUUUGAAGACGUCUGGAAACCUAAUCGUCUUCCUAAUGGCAACACAACAGGGCAAAGUCCAGCGAGGAGGACGCUGCAGUUCACUCGAGAUGAAUGCAAAAAGAUUGAAACAGAUCAUAGUUCAAGUCCUGUCUUCACUGGGGCAAAGAUCCCCAAGAAUGACACGAUGCUGACACGAAUGAAGAAAUCCAUAGUCCGUGUUGCCAGUAGAUUGAGAGAAAUUUACGUUUAGGUUUAACGAUAAUGAACUGAACUCAAUUCAGAGUGGACAUACGUUGUUUUUACUCGUUUAGGAUUUGAACUUUUUGAAAGUCUGAAGUCAGAAUAAUAUAUGAAAGGGUUGAUUGUUGAAGGGUCAAUGUAUAAAGCAUAUAACUAUUUACCAAGACGCUUUUGCCGUUGUUUAUAUUAUAGUCCAAAAGCAGUGACGUCACAAAGCUCCUCCAGGAAUUUAAAUAGCUAAGUGAUUUAAAUAUUUAUCGAGCAAUGGACCACUUGCAUACUAGACCAACUUCAGAUCUAGGUGACAAGAAGGAAAUAAAUAAUCACAGCUAAAAAGAUUAGUAAAAUUGCCGAGUAUGGUUCGAAAAUCUAAAGUAGUACGGAAAAUAUAGCCAUAAGUCGUCCGGCUGCAAUACAAAAGUAUACAAAAUUCGCCAACUUAGCAUGGCUUUACUUCGGCACUUUACAAUAUUUCACAGCCAAACUUGGCAAUUUUACUAAGUUUUGUAUGCACUUUUCGGAAAUUUCCGCUUUGUCACCUAAAUCAAAGGUUGGUCUAUUAUGCAACUGGUCCAUUUCCAACCAAAAUUCCUAACUUUACCUGCUUGCUUAAAUACGAAAUAUAAAAACCGUGGUGCAAUAACCAAUUCGACUCAAUUUGACAUCGCCGAAUAAUUUAUUAAUUUGGCCA